GCCGGGCGCAGUGGCAUGUGCCUAUAGUCCCAGUUACUCAGGAGGCUGAGGUGGGAGGAUAGCUUGAGCCCAGGAGUUCUGGGCUGUAGUGCGCUAUGCCCAUCGGGUGUCCGCACUAAGUUCAGCAUCAAUAUGGUGACCUCUCAGGAGUGGGGGACCACCAGGUUGCUUAAGGAGGGGUGAACCCGCCCAGGUUGGAAACAGAGCAGGUCAAAACUCCUGUGCUGAUCAGUAGUGGGAUCACACCUGUGAAUAGCCACUGCACUCCAGCCUGGGCAACAUAGCAAGACCCCCUUCUCUU
ensembl:misc_RNA Metazoa_SRP Metazoan signal recognition particle RNA